rnacentral:rRNA from 1 species
AAUAUUGGACAAUGGGCGCAAGCCUGAUCCAGCAACGCCGCGUGGAGGAAGAAGGCCUUCGGGUCGUAAACUCCUGUCAGGUGGGACGAAAACGCGGGGGUCAACAGCCCCUGCGGUUGACGGUACCGCCAGAGGAAGCCCCGGCUAACUCCGUGCCAGCAGCCGCGGUAAUACGGAGGGGGCAAGCGUUAUUCGGAAUUAUUGGGCGUAAAGGGCGCGCAGGCGGCCUGGAAAGUCUCGGGUGAAAUCCCUCGGCUCAACCGAGGAAUUGCCUUGGAUACUGUCAGGCUCGAGGCCGGGAGGGGGUGGCGGAAUUCCCAGUGUAGCGGUGAAAUGCGUAGAUAUUGGGAGGAACACCAGUGGCGAAGGCGGCCACCUGGACCGGUUCUGACGCUGAGGCGCGAAAGCGUGGGGAGCAAAC